rnacentral:rRNA from 1 species
UACAGAGGGGUGCAAGCGUUAAUCGGAUUUACUGGGCGUAAAGGGCGCGUAGGUGGUUAGUUAAGUGAGAUGUGAAGCCCUGGGCUUAACCUGGGAAUGGCAUCUUAUAACUGGCUAGCUUGAGUACUGGUAGAGGGUAGUGGAAUUUCCGGUGUAGCGGUGAAAUGCGUAGAGAGUGGAAGGAACACCAGUGGCGAAGGCGGCUACCUGGACAGAUACUGACACUGAGGCGCGAGAAGCGUGGGGAGCAAACAGGG